rnacentral:rRNA from 1 species
CCUGCCCAUUGACGUUGAGUUGAAAGGCCGCGGUAUAUUGACCGUGCGAAGGUAGCAUAAUGAUUUGUUCUUUAAAUGAGGACUGGUAUGAAUGGUUGAACAAGAAACUAACUGUCUCUGGUAUAAGGUUUGAAAUUAACUUUUAAGUGAGAAGGCUUAAAUACACCAAGGGGACGAUAAGACCCUAUAAAUCUUUAUAUUUGUCAUAAUGAUAUUAAGUAUUAUAAUUGAAAAUUUAGUUUUAUUGGGAUAGAAUAUUUUGUUGGGGCGACAGGAGUAUAAAAAAGUAACUGCUUUGUAAGAUGAGUUAAUAAUUUUUAAUGUGUGAUAUAGUUGAUCCUUCAGUGAGGAUUUCAGAAUAAGUUACUUUAGGGAUAACAGCGUAAUCUCUCUUGAGAGUCCAUAUCGAAAGGGGGGAUUGCGACCUCGAUGUUGAAUUAAAGGUCCUCCAUGGUGUAGCAGUUGUGGGAGGAGGUCUGUUCGACCUUUAAAUCUUUACGUGAUCUGAGUUCAGACCGG